rnacentral:misc_RNA from 1 species
AUUUUGAGUGUUGCUAUUUAGUUAGCUCAUUCGUAAUACAUUAGCAUCUCAAUUUCGUAAUCGGAUUGACUCAGCGUAAUAGACUAUUCGCUGAGGACACCAUUUUGGUGGCCGAGACAUGAAAGAGUGGAAGCUUCAAACCCCUCCUAGUCAUUUUUAGAUUAGACCUCAGAUCAGGCAGGAUUACCCGCUGAACUUAA